rnacentral:rRNA from 1 species
UCCACGCCGUAAACGAUGAAUACUCGUUGUCUGCAAUAUACAGUAGGCGACUGAGCGAAAGCAUUAAGUAUUCCACCUGGGGAGUACGUUGGCAACAAUGAAACUCAAAGGAAUUGACGGGGGCCCGCACAAGCGGAGGAACAUGUGGUUUAAUUCGAUGAUACGCGAGGAACCUUACCCGGGUUUAAAUGCAGGACGAAACCGAGAGAUCGGAGCCUCUUCGGACGGACU